CAAAAAUACAACCCUGAACGGUGGAUCACUCGGCUCGUGGGUCGAUGAAGAACGCAGCAAAUUGCGCGUCGACAUGUGAACUGCAGGACACAUGAACAUCGACAUUUCGAACGCACAUUGCGGUCCAUGGAUUCCGUUCCCGGACCACGUCUGGCUGAGGGUCGGUAGCUAAAAC
rnacentral:rRNA from 1 species